UGGGGCGUAGCCAAGCUGGUAAGGCACGGGACUUUGACUCCCGCAUGCGUAGGUUCGAAUCCUGCCGCCCCAGCCAGCG
rnacentral:tRNA from 1 species